rnacentral:snRNA from 1 species
AUGCGUUCUCCUUACUUACCUGGACGGGGUCGACAGGCGAUCAAGAAGGCCCGUGGCCUGGGUCAAUGGUCCACAUUGCACUUGGUGGGUGCGUUGGCCCAUCAUCUCCCCAAGUGGGAGAGUGAACGUCAUAAUUUGUGGUAG